GACGAACGCUGGCGGCGUGCUUAACACAUGCAAGUCGAACGGAAAGGCCUGCUUUCCCUUGUGCUUUUCUUGUACUCGAGUGGCUAACUGAUGAGUAACACGCGAGUGAUCUGCCCCCAACUUACUUCUAAGCCUGGGAGACUGGGUCUAAUUCCCUUUAGUACUGCAUGGUGCUGCCUUUGGUGGCAAACGUUUUUCUACUUGUUGGGGAUGAGCUCGCGGCCUAUCAGCUUGUUGGUGGGGUAAAUGCCUACCAAGGCGGCGACGGGUGGCCGGAGUGAGAGGGUGGACGGCGACAUUGGGACUGGGAUAAGGCCCAGACUGCUACGGGAGGCAGCAGUGGGGAAGAUUGGACAAUGGGCGGGAGGGAGAAGCAGCGACGGAGCGUGGGGGAUGAAGGGAUCGGGGUAGUAAACUACUAGCGAACGAGAGGAAGGCAAGUGGUUGGAAGGGUGGUGACGGUAGUGGAAGAAGAAGCACCGGCUAACUACGUG
rnacentral:rRNA from 1 species